rnacentral:rRNA from 1 species
UACGAAGGGGGCUAGCGUUGUUCGGAAUUACUGGGCGUAAAGCGUGCGCAGGCGGCUUCUCAAGUCAGGGGUGAAAGCCCAGAGCUCAACUCUGGAAUUGCCUUUGAGACUGAGUGGCUUGAGUACGAGAGAGGUGAGUGGAAUUCCCAGUGUAGAGGUGAAAUUCGUAGAUAUUGGGAAGAACACCGGUGGCGAAGGCGGCUCACUGGCUCGUAACUGACGCACAUGCACGACAGCGUGGGGAUCAAACAGG